rnacentral:rRNA from 1 species
AAUAUUGGACAAUGGGCGAAAGCCUGAUCCAGCCAUGCCGCGUGUGUGAAGAAUCUCUACGGAUUUUAAAGAACUUUAAGUUGGGAGGAAGGGCAGUAAGUUAAUACCUUGUUGCUUUGACGUUACUGCUAGAAUAAGCACCGGCUAACUUGUUGCCAGUAGCCGCGGUAAUACGAAGGGUGCAAGAGGUAAUCGGAAUUACUGGGCGUAAAGCGCGCGUAGGUGGUUUGUUAAGUUGGAAGUGAAAGCCCCGGGCUCAACCUGGGAACUGCUUUCAAGACUGGCAAGCUAGAGUAUGGCAGAGGGUGGUGGAAUUUCCUGUGUAGCGGUGAAAUGCGUAGAUAUAGGAAGGAACACCAGUGGCGAAGGCGACCACCUGGGCUAAUACUGACACUGAGGUGCGAAAGCGUGGGGAGCAAACA